rnacentral:rRNA from 1 species
UACGGAGGGUGCAAGCGUUAUCCGGAAUCACUGGGUUUAAAGGGUACGUAGGCUGUUAUAUAAGUCAGAAGUGAAAGCUCACUGCUCAACAGUGAAACUGCUUAUGAUACUGUAUAACUAGAGACAGAUAGAGGUGCGCGGAAUGCGUCAUGUAGCGGUGAAAUGCAUAGAUAUGACGUAGAACGCCGAUAGUGAAGACAGCGCACUAGGUCUGAUCUGACGCUGAGGUACGAAAGCGUGGGGAGCGAACAGG